rnacentral:rRNA from 1 species
CAGUCGCCGCGGUAAAACGUAGGGUGCAAGCGUUAAUCGGAAUUACUGGGCGUAAAGCGUGCGCAGGCGGUUAUAUAAGACAGAUGUGAAAUCCCCGGGCUCAACCUGGGAACUGCAUUUGUGACUGUAUAGCUAGAGUACGGCAGAGGGGGAUGGAAUUCCGCGUGUAGCAGUGAAAUGCGUAGAUAUGCGGAGGAACACCGAUGGCGAAGGCAAUCCCCUGGGCCUGUACUGACGCUCAUGCACGAAAGCGUGGGGAGCAAACAGGAUUAGAUACCCCUGUAGUCCCUGUCUCUUAUAU